GACGAACGCUGGCGGCGUGCCUAAUACAUGCAAGUCGAACGCUUCUUUCCUCCCGAGUGCUUGCACUCCAUUGGAAAGAGGAGUGGCGGACGGGUGAGUAACACGUGGGUAACCUACCCAUCAGAGGGGGAUAACACUUGGAAACAGGUGCUAAUACCGCAUAACAGUUUAUGCCGCAUGGCAUAAGAGUGAAAGGCGCUUUCGGGUGUCGCUGAUGGAUGGACCCGCGGUGCAUUAGCUAGUUGGUGAGGUAACGGCUCACCAAGGCCACGAUGCAUAGCCGACCUGAGAGGGUGAUCGGCCACACUGGGACUGAGACACGGCCCAGACUCCUACGGGAGGCAGCAGUAGGGAAUCUUCGGCAAUGGACGAAAGUCUGACCGAGCAACGCCGCGUGAGUGAAGAAGGCUUUCGGAUCGUAAAACUCUGUUGUUAGAGAAGAACAAGGACGUUAGUAACUGAACGUCCCCUGACGGUAUCUAACCAGAAAGCCACGGCUAACUACGUG
rnacentral:rRNA from 1 species